rnacentral:rRNA from 1 species
AGUCAACGCUAGCGGAGUGCAUCAGGCAUGCAAGUCGAACGAGAAAGUUUUCUUCGGAGAACGAGUAUAGUGGCGCACGGGUGAGUACAAAUUAGGUAACCUACCUUUUUGCUGGGGAUAACUGAGGGAAACUUCAGCUAAUACCGAAUAUUCCAUUUUUAUCUGCGGAUUUUUAUGGGAAAGCCUUACGGCGCGAAAAGAGGGGCCUGAUCCCCAUUAGUUUGUUGGUAGGGUAAUGGCCUACCAAGACUACGAUGGGUAGCUGGUCUGAGAGGAUGUACAGCCACACUGGAACUGAAACACGGUCCAGACUCCUACGGGAGGCAGCAGCUAGGAAUAUUGCGCAAUGGAGGAAACUCUGACGCAGCAACUCCGCGUGAAUGAUGAAGGCCUUAGGGUUGUAAAGUUCUUUUAGUUAGGAAGAAAAAAAUGACGGUACUAACAGAAAAAGCACCGGCAAACUUCG